UUCGAUGAACUUAGCAUCCUCCUGGUGAGAGACAAUGAAAACCCAGAUAGCAGAUACAGAUACCUUCAAAAUGGAGGUAAUAGCUGACAGGAGUGACGUAAGUUGUGGUCUUACUUCAAUUGUAAGUGAAUUGUGCGGUGAUUGCGACCGUUUUAAUGCCGACAUUAAUGAUUCAGAUUCCAGUUUAAACCAGGAGAUGGAAGGUUCUACGAAUAUUAAUUCCAGUACUUAUGAGAUGUCCUGGUCCUGGAGGUGGAAGGAUCUCCUCACAGUGGAGGCAGCUCCUGUCAGUAAGCUUUACCAAAUUAUGGGUACAGCUCCAACAGAUCCUCAUGAAACCAACUUCAGAAAUUGAUAGGAAAAACAGAAAACUGAUUCCAGACACCCCGUAUUUGACCACGAGCAUCGGCGACCAGGACUCAGAAUUGUGAAAGAGCUUCCUGCAGGCAACUACAGCAAUGCCUUCAAUUCCUGGUGCUCGCCUAGUGGAACUUUGACAAGAUCCUUCACCCAAAGCACACGAAACAAAUGUCAAAGGAGAACCAGUGGCAGGUUCAGACCUACCUUAUGUGAUAAGAAAAAAUGCUAAACAGAUUGAUAACUUGGGUUUCACAAUGCAAAGUCAACUUCACAAAAUAGUGCUUCAGCAGCGAUGAUGAAAUUUGCCAUUGUGGUGGCCUGCAGGAGCAUCAACAUCUAUUUGUCUGUUAACAGGAACCUGCUGGACACACUACUACAAGUGAUCUUGCUGCAGCUAAGAAAGCAGCCAAAAUUGUCAAAUAGUGGGCUCUCCCCAGAAUUUGAAGAAAGAGCUUCCUACAGGCAACUACGGCAAUGCCUUCAAUUCCUGGUCCUCGCCUAGUGGAACUUUGACAAGAUCAUUCACCCAAAGCACACAAAACAAAUGUCAAAGGAGAACCAGUGGCAGGUUCAGACCUACCUUAUGUCAUAAGAAAAAAUGCUAAACAGAUUGAUAACUGGGGUUUCACAAUGCAAAGUCAACUUCACAAAAUAGUGCUUCAGCAGCGAUGAUGAAAUUUGCCAUUGUGGUGGCCUGCAGGAGCAUCAACAUCUAUUUGUCUGUUAACAGGAACCUGCUGGACACACUACUACAAGUGAUCUUGCUGCAGCUAAGAAAGCAGCCAAAAUUGUCAAAUAGUGGGCUCUCCCCAGAAUUUGAAGAAAGAGCUUCCUACAGGCAACUACGGCAAUGCCUUCAAUUCCUGGUCCUCGCCUAGUGGAACUUUGACAAGAUCCUUCACCCAAAGCACACAAAACAAAUGUCAAAGGAGAACCAGUGGCAGGUUCAGACCUACCUUAUGUCAUAAGAAAAAAUGCUAAACAGAUUGAUAACUGGGGUUUCACAAUGCAAAGUCAACUUCACAAAAUAGUGCUUCAGCAGUGAUGAUGAAAUUUGCCAUUGUGGUGGCCUGCAGGAGCAUCAACAUCUAUUUGUCUGUUAACAGGAACCUGCUGGACACACUACUACAAGUGAUCUUGCUGCAGCUAAGAAAGCAGCCAAAAUUGUCAAAUAGUGGGCUCUCCCCAGAAUUUGAAGAAAGAGCUUCCUACAGGCAACUACGGCAAUGCCUUCAAUUCCUGGUCCUCGCCUAGUGGAACUUUGACAAGAUCCUUCACCCAAAGCACACAAAACAAAUGUCAAAGGAGAACCAGUGGCAGGUUCAGACCUACCUUAUGUCAUAAGAAAAAAUGCUAAACAGAUUGAUAACUGGGGUUUCACAAUGCAAAGUCAACUUCACAAAAUAGUGCUUCAGCAGCGAUGAUGAAAUUUGCCAUUGUGGUGGCCUGCAGGAGCAUCAACAUCUAUUUGUCUGUUAACAGGAACCUGCUGGACACACUACUACAAGUGAUCUUGCUGCAGCUAAGAAAGCAGCCAAAAUUGUCAAAUAGUGGGCUCUCCACAGAAUUUGAAGAGAAUUAUCUUGCUGUUUUUUUUUUUUUUUUUUUAAAUCUUCCUGUCUGUGUUUUAUCAAUACUUGUGGUACAUAUUUUUCCCUGUAUUUUUACUGUUAUUAAUUUCUAUCUGUAUGUUACUGAAUUUCCUCUGUAACUGAUUUUUUAUAUGUAUUCAAUCUCAAUAUGUAUGUUAUUAAUGCUCUGUCGGUUUUGUAAUAAUUCAAUGUCCUGGACAUGUAAAAUAUAGUAAAUAAAUUUCGAGAUUUAAAAGAGA